rnacentral:rRNA from 1 species
UGCCUAACACAUGCAAGUCGAGCGAGAAAGCUCCUUCGGGAAUUAGUAAAGCGGCGAACGGGUGAGCAACGCGUGAGAAUCUACCCUUUAGUGAAGAAUACCCUCGAGAAAUCGAGGCUAAUACUGCAUAAGUCCCUUCGGGGAGAAAGAUGGCCUCUUUGCUAUCGCUAAAGGAUGAGCUUGCGUACUAUUAGCUAGUUGGCGGGGUAAUGGCCCACCAAGGCAAUGAUGGUUAACCGGCCUGAGAGGGUGUACGGUCACACUGUGUCUUAGACACGGUCCAGACUCCUACGGGAGGCAGCAGUGAGGAAUCUUGCGCAAUGGGCGAAAGCCUGACGCAGCUUCUCCGCGUGAAGGAUGAAGGUCUUCGGAUUGUAAAGCUC